rnacentral:lncRNA from 1 species
AGGCUGGAAGUGACUCUUUGCUCAGCAAAAACUGCCUUAGAGAGCAGGAGAAAAUGGCAGUGUGCAAGAUGGGGAAAGGAUGGGGUCACACAAAGAAAAAGAGCUAGAGUUGACCUCUUUUCCACUCUGGGAAUGAGAUGUAAGCCAGGAGGCAAGCCUGAGGCUGAGACUCCACCAGGGAUGGCAGAAUCUCCUGAAGGAUUGGAGGUGGUGGCCAGGGCAGAGGCCAAGGUCUUGACAGAGGCCACUGACGAGGUGAAUGAAAAAGAGACCAAGUGAAAAAAUAAGUUGAUUUAGUGACCUGAAUGUAUCCCAUAGAGUGGAAAAUAAAAUACAGGAUCCCAAACCUUGCCCUUCCAUGUCAUCAUCAUCUUUGAAAUAUACAGGAAAAGGUGGGCUGUUUUGGCUUCCUACCAUGGAGGAGGACCUUGAAGGAGAAAACUGGCAGACCUUCUCCAUUCCCUGGUGCUUCAGCAGGGCAGCUGAGGAUGAAGGAGAACAUAUUUGCCAGUGAGUAAUGGUCUUCAAGGAAAAAAUAUCAGGGGUCUUAUUGUUGCUUUCUGAGAUGAGCUUGUGCUUUUCAGUAGGAUGAAUUUAUUUGGAAAGAAUUGAAAGCUGUGUCUCAGAAUUAUACAAGAACGAUGCCUUUGGAGAAAAAUGAAGUCCUUCUGAGUUUUGUUCAGGCAAUUCAAAAAUUUAAAAAGAAUAUUGGAGGCAAGGCAUGAAUAUCCUGUAAAACAGAAGGACAAAGCCGUAUACUACUUUGGUCAUUUAUUUCCUUAGGAAUAAAUGUCCACAGGCACUUUUGGGAAAAGA